GCCCGGUUAGCUCAAUCGGUAGAGCGUGGGACUUUUACUAAAAGAUGGAAGGUCCAUCCCAAGGUUGCGGGUUCGAGCCCCGCAUCGGGCU